ACAACCCCAAUCGUCUGCCGCACCUCCCUUUCUUUGUUCUCUUUCUCUUGAGUUUUUCUUCUGCAACAGAAAUCACUGAGCCAUAACUUUGCUCUGCUAUUCAAUCCAGUUACCAAACAUAUGGUUCUUCUCUCUAUCAAUUGAGCCAAUUUGGCGUUAGGUUUGAUUUGGGGGUUUCUAAAUUGAAGUAUGAACUGAAAAGGAUUUAGGGUUUAUUCGACUGAGAAUACAAAAAGGAAAGAAGACUGUUGAUGGUGUUAUGGGUCUGUAAUUUAGGUUCAAUUUGAAGUUAUGGCUAAGAGGGAUUGAAACUGAGAUGCUGAAAACCUAAAACCACUUCCGCCAUCUCUUUUCUCCAUAUCCUAAUUCCGUUAUCUUCUUCUCGGUGGUAAGUUGAGUUCUUCUUCUUCGGCUCAUUUUAUGGAACUACAACUCUGUGUUGGGUGUCAGUUUAGAAAGGACUGGAUGAAAGCGGUAUUUCUGGACAUGAUGCUUACAUUUUGAAGCGAAUUAAAUUGUUGCCAUCUUUGUUAAGGGUGUUUAAUGGUUGUAACUUUAUGUAAGGGAAUGACUCAGAUUCAUGAAGUUGGUGAAUCCCAAGUCUUGCAGUGUACCAAGUGUUGAAGUGUUAUCUACUUUCAAAAAGAAAUUUGCAGUGUACCAACCUUUAAUAGAUUUAUGUAUACUAUUUAAAUAAAACUUACAUGUGUAAAAUUUGUAUUCGGCAUUCUGUCCAUCCUUGCACCUCACCUGGUGCGUUGCAUGGUGGGCUUACUCUUACUGUUAAUUUUUAUGUUUUGGAGCAACAUAAGCUUUUUGUGUGUA